rnacentral:rRNA from 1 species
GAUGAACGCUGGCGGCGUGCUUAACACAUGCAAGUCGAACGAUGAAGCCCAGCUUGCUGGGUGGAUUAGUGGCGAACGGGUGAGUAACACGUGAGUAACCUGCCCUUGACUCUGGGAUAAGCCUGGGAAACUGGGUCUAAUACUGGAUAUGACUUCUCAUCGCAUGGUGGGGGGUGGAAAGAUUUAUUGGUCUUGGAUGGACUCGCGGCCUAUCAGCUUGUUGGUGGGGUAAUGGCUCACCAAGGCGUCGACGGGUAGCCGGCCUGGGAGGGUGACCGGCCAAAUUGGGAAUGAGAAACGGGCCAGAAUCCUUCGGGGGGCAGCAGGGGGGAAUAUUGCAAAAUGGGGGGCAGCCCUAUGGAGGAACGCCGCGGGGGGGAUGACGGCCUUUGGGGUGUAAAACGCUUUCGAGUGGGAAGAAGGGUGAGGGACGGUAACCGGUAAAGAAGCCCCGGCUAACCACGUG